AGGGGGGGGGAGCAGCACGGGAGCUCGUCGGGCUCAUAACCCGAAGGUCGCAGGUUCAAAUCCUGUCCCCGCAACCA
rnacentral:tRNA from 1 species